rnacentral:rRNA from 1 species
UACGUAGGGUGCAAGCGUUGUCCGGAAUUAUUGGGCGUAAAGAGCUCGUAGGCGGUCUGUCGCGUCUGCUGUGAAAACUCAGGGCUUAACCCUGAGCUUGCAGUGGGUACGGGCAGACUAGAGUGCGGUAGGGGAGACUGGAAUUCCUGGUGUAGCGGUGAAAUGCGCAGAUAUCAGGAGGGAACACCGGUGGGCCGAAGGCGGGUCUCUGGGCCGACACUGACGGCUGAGGAAGCGGAAAGCCAGGGGAGCAAACGGG